rnacentral:lncRNA from 1 species
GCCAAAUUAAACCUCUUCCUUGAACCCCGGUGAUUGCAUCCAGCCCAUCUGGCUUUUCCAAGAUCCUUAAUCACAGGAAGUCACUUUGCAAUAUAAGGAACCACAGAGCACUUUUGAACAAGGAGAUGUGGACUGCAGCUUAUGUUAGAGCAAUGCUUCCCAAAUACAGAUGGUCUCCACAGUAUCCUGUGAAUUUUAUUAAGAUGCAGACUCUGAUUCAGCAGUUCUUGGCAUCGGUCUAAUGGGAAGGCAUUGUUAAAAAGUGCUUACAUGUGCAUAGAAUCUUGCAAUGGGGAUGUACAGGAGAUUCUUUGGUGUGAUUAUUUUUGCUUUUUUUGUGAACAUACAUGAACGAAGAAAAGCAAGAGCCCGUGGUUUAGAAUCCUUCUCUUCCACAUCAUGAUUGCACUCACUGUAUAUAAAGAACUGUGAAAAAAAAAAAAAAAAGAACCGUGGACGUCUAUCAAUGGACAACUUCAAAGGUUUGUGAUUGUAUUGGGAAUCUAAUGAAAUUUAUGAACACUUUUUUAGGGGAAAAUACAUUUAUGAACUACGAUGAACCUUGUCAUUUUGUGCAUAUAAUACCCAUUCCUGCAUCUGGCAACA